UAUACUCCGUCGCGCUUAGGUGCCCAUCUAUGGGUUAAACGGGAAAUCAGUGAAAUCUGAUGCUGCCCCCGCAACGGUAAACUCAGUGUGACCACACACAUUCUCCUUUAUACGCCACUGUGUCAUCGCUAUUGAUGUCGCGACAUGGGAAGGCAGAGAAACCAUACACAGUAUUGGUGAGUGAGCCCGGAUACCGGCCUAGCUUCACGGCAGUUAU
rnacentral:ncRNA from 16 species